rnacentral:rRNA from 1 species
CCUACGGGUGGCAGCAGUGAGGAAUAUUGGUCAAUGGACGAGAGUCUGAACCAGCCAAGUAGCGUGAAGGAUGACUGCCCUAUGGGUUGUAAACUUCUUUUAUAUGGGAAUAAAACGUUCCCCGUGUGGGAUUUUGUAUGUACCAUAUGAAUAAGGAUCGGCUAACUCCGUGCCAGCAGCCGCGGUAAUACGGAGGAUCCGAGCGUUAUCCGGAUUUAUUGGGUUUAAAGGGAGCGUAGGUGGAUUGUUAAGUCAGUUGUGAAAGUUUGCGGCUCAACCGUAAAAUUGCAGUUGAAACUGGCAGUCUUGAGUACAGUAGAGGUGGGCGGAAUUCGUGGUGUAGCGGUGAAAUGCUUAGAUAUCACGAAGAACUCCGAUUGCGAAGGCAGUUCACUGGACUGCAACUGACACUGAGGCUCGAAAGUGUGGGUAUCAAACAGGAUUAGAUACCCCAGUAGUC